GUGUUGUAUGAAAGGAGAGAAGGUCAGCACACCCUUUGGCAAAGAUGGAAGAGGUCUUUGGCCUAAUAACGUGCAGACAGUUAAGGCAUUGCCAACUGUUUUGUGGUAUGUAACCACUGUCCUAU